rnacentral:pre_miRNA from 14 species
UUUUAGGCAGAAACUGAAAGAUCCCCGAAGAGAGACUCUUACUCAAGUCUUGGGAAAUCGCGGACCCCAGACACAGAGAGACCA